GGCGAGGUGGCUCAGUGGUUAGAGCGCCAAUUUACUGAUCGAAAGGUUUUUGGUACGAACCCGAGCUUUGUCC
rnacentral:tRNA from 1 species